CCCCACAGAAGUGGUCCAGACUAGUCAUGUGUUGCCACGUGUCGGUUUCAUGUCUCUAGCGAUACCGAAAUGUUAAUUCUCCAGUGGCCGGUACUUGAACCCUGGUGGCUUCACCGUAUUGGGCAUUUUCCCUCAAGUUAAUCACGAACAGGCCACAAGCCUUGGUUGAAGUCUCAUUCACUAGACAUUCAUAUUAUAUAAUAAAUAUAGUUUAAAAUUA
rnacentral:lncRNA from 1 species